rnacentral:rRNA from 1 species
UAGUCCACGCCGUAAACGAUGGAUACUAGCUGUCUGGAACCUUGAGUUCUGGGCGGCCAAGCGAAAGUGAUAAGUAUCCCACCUGGGGAGUACGUUCGCAAGAAUGAAACUCAAAGGAAUUGACGGGGGCCCGCACAAGCGGUGGAGCAUGUGGUUUAAUUCGAUGAUACGCGAGGAACCUUACCAGGGCUUAAAUGUAGAUUGACAGGUUUAGAGAUAGACUUUUCUUCGGACAAUUUACAAGGUGCUGCAUGGUUGUCGUCAGCUCGUGCCGUGAGGUGUCAGGUUAAGUCCUAUAACGAGCGCAACCCCUGUUGUUAGUUGCCAGCGAGUAGUGUCGGGAACUCUAGCAAGACUGCCGGUGCAAACCGCGAGGAAGGUGGGGAUGACGUCAAAUCAUCACGGCCCUUACGUCCUGGGCCACACACGUGCUACAAUGGUAGGUACAGAGAGCAGCCACUGGGUGACCAGGAGCGAAUCUAUAAAGCCUAUCACAGUUCGGAUCGG